GGGGGCGUAUUGCUUUGACAGCCCUUAAGUCGCAAUAAGCAGGUGGAGUUCCAAAAUCUCCUAAAACUUCUGGAAAACUUUAAGUGCCAACAUUUUUCAAGUUGAGCAACCGGCUUACGCCAUUGCUUAAGCACUUUCCCGCCUAAGGCGGGAACAUCCUCCUUGCUGAUGCCCAAUAAGCAAACGAGGGUGUUAUAAUAUUGGGCUAGGCAACCAGAGGCCUUGGCUGGCGGCUGAAACAAAAGGGCUCGGGUAAUUGUUUAUUUUGUCCGCUUCAAAAGCAUUUGCCUUAAAAAAAUAAACGGUCUAAACCUGUAGAGUUGUUGAGGCGCUAAUCGCUGCACGAGGGUUCAAUCCCUCCGUCUCCACCA
rnacentral:tmRNA from 5 species